GAUGAACGCUAGCGGGGGGCCUAACACAUGCAAGCCGAGCGGUAUUGUUUCUUCGGAAAUGAGAGAGCGGCGUACGGGUGCGUAACACGUGUGCAACCUGCCUUUAUCUGGGGGAUAGCCUUUCGAUAGGAAGAUUAAUACUCCAUAAUAUAUUGAACGGCAUCGUUUAAUAUUGAAAGCUCCGGCGGAUAGAGAUGGGCACGCGCAAGAUUAGCUAGUUGGUGAGGUAACGGCUCACCAAGGCGAUGAUCUUUAGGGGGCCCGAGAGGGUGAUCCCCCACACUGGUACUGAGACACGGACCAGACUCCUACGGGAGGCAGCAGUGAGGAAUAUUGGUCAAUGGGUGCAAGCCUGAACCAGCCAUCCCGUGUGAAGGACGACUGCCCUAUGGGUUGUAAACUUCUUUUGUAUAGGGAUAAACCUACCCUCGAGAGGGUAGCUGAAGGUACUAUACGAAUAAGCACCGGCUAACUCCGUG
rnacentral:rRNA from 1 species